rnacentral:rRNA from 1 species
AUUGAACGCUGGCGGCAGGCCUAACACAUGCAAGUCGAACGGUAGCACAGAGAGCUUGCUCUCGGGUGACGAGUGGCGGACGGGUGAGUAACGUCUGGGAAACUGCCCGAUGGAGGGGGAUAACUACUGGAAACGGUAGCUAAUACCGCAUAACGUCGCAAGACCAAAGUGGGUGACCUUCCGGCCUCACACCAUCGGAUGUGCCCAGAUGGGAUGAGCUAGUAGGUGGGGUAAGGGCUCACCUAGGCGACGAUCCCGAGCUGGUCUGAGAGGAAGACCAGCCACACUGGAACUGAGACACGGCCCAGACUCCUACGGGAGGCAGCAGUGGGGAAUAUUGCACAAUGGACGCAAGCCUGAUUCAGCCAUGCCGCGUGUAUGAAGAAGGCCUUCGGGUUGUAAAGUACUUUCAGCGGGGAGGAAGGCGGUGAAGUUAAUAACUUCACCGAUUGACGUUACCCGCAGAAGAAGCACCGGCUAACUCCGUGCCAGCAGCCGCCGUAA